CCUUGAGAGAGAGAGAGAGAGAGAGAGAGAGAGAGGCUGUCAAUGCCUGAAGAAUUGGCGACUUCGGCUCUUCCAUCCAGCCUUUAGAUGGAGACGGCUCGGUCGCCUUCCUCGGUAACAUGCCUAGCAUCAUGCUGAGAUGCGCUCUUCUGGGACGCACCGCCAAGCCCAUGCCCUGCGCUUUCGUCAGCAGGCGGAGCAGGGUCUGCAGCUCCCUGUUCGGUCUGUUUACCGAAGCAAACGGUUUGCGAAGGGAGAUUCCUUGCGACGAGGCGAUGGUUUUGCGGCUAUGCCGCGGAGCAGUUCUCGGACGAUGAGUACGAGGUCGACUUCGAGGGCCACAAGGCAUCAUCUUCGGUUGCGAACAUUGAUGAGUGGAAGUGGAAGCUCAGCUUGCUCUCGCGCAGCGAAAAGGACCCAGGAAAUUGUGUCUCGAGAUAAAAGAGAUAGAAGAGACUAUGACUUAUUUUGUGCUAGGCACUAUUAAUCCAAGAAAUUGAAGUUGUUUUUGCCAAAAAAACAAAAAUACUGUUUCUGCCGGACUAACAGCAGUGACAACUUCACGGAGCAUUUUCAUACUUGGCAUAAUCGCUAUCUCUUAAGCUAUCUCUUAAGUUCUUCCCAACGAACUGCCAAGUGCUAAGUACGGGAGACUCUUUGUUGCACUUCAGGGUCACAAUUCAUAAAUUAUUUAUUCACCUAGCUGUUUAGUUCUUGAGCCAUUAGGCUUCCUUAGAUCUCUCAUAAAACAAGGAAUAAUAUUUAAAUAGAUGUGUGAUAAUUAUGUUUAUGACAGAGUCUUCUGGACUAUAGUAUGUAUACCACAAAUUGGGUUUGUCGCCAGUCAUUUUUUUGUAAACAUCCCGUGUCGUCUCUGUUUAUCUCGCAUUUCAUUUCCAUGAAAAGUGGCUCUUGGAUCUGCUACCCUGUAGCUGCCGGGAAAGGACUUAUAAAAUGAUGAAAGACUGCUGCCAUGUUUAGCACUAGAUAGGACAAUAUCUUGUGACUGUACAAUAUGUUGUCAGUGUUGUAUGGAUUGUUUGUUCAAUUGUUGCUUGGUAAGCCGUUUUCGAGAGUGGUCCAUUGAUGAAUAUGUGUGCCAGACAUCUCAUCUUAUUCUUACAUGGUACGUCUCUAAUUUUGAAAGCACCGCCCAUGAGGUCAUCCGGUAUGAGAUUAAAUGCAGACGGUGUUGCGAUCGCGAAUUGUGUUGGAUGCUAUGGUUGUUGCAUAUGUUUUUCCCAACCACAUACACAUAUUAGCUUUGGUUUUCCUUUGCAGAGUGAAAGAUCCGGGAAUCUAUGCUACAUGGAUCGAGUGUGCAUCUUCUACUUCUAGGCAAGACACACUUCUUCUAUCUCUUUGAUCUUUGGUGGAACUGUAUAUGAUAUCCAACUCGGGUUGCAGCAAGCAUCACAGAAAUGAGGUUGAAAUUGUAUUGUUUUCUUUUA